rnacentral:ncRNA from 1 species
UGACUAUAAAUAAUCGUAUAAAUUCGAUAAUAUGGAUCGAAAGUUUCUACCUACAAACCUUAAAUUUGUGGACUACGAGGUGUUUAUGUU